rnacentral:rRNA from 1 species
CCUACGGGGGGCAGCAGUGAGGAAUAUUGGACAAUGGUCGGAAGACUGAUCCAGCCAUGCCGCGUGCAGGAUGACGGCCUUAUGGGUUGUAAACUGCUUUUGUAAGGGAAGAAUAAGGAGUACGUGUACUUUGAUGACGGUACCUUACGAAUAAGCAUCGGCUAACUCCGUGCCAGCAGCCGCGGUAAUACGGAGGAUGCGAGCGUUAUCCGGAAUCAUUGGGUUUAAAGGGUCCGUAGGCGGGCUAAUAAGUCAGGGGUGAAAUCGUUCAGCUCAACUGAGCAACUGCCUUUGAAACUGUUAGUCUUGAAUAGUUGUGAAGUAGUUGGAAUGUGUAGUGUAGCGGUGAAAUGCUUAGAGAUUACACAGAACACCGAUAGCGAAGGCAUAUUACUAACAAUUGAUUGACGCUGAUGGACGAAAGCGUGGGGAGCGAACAGGAUUAGAUACCCUGGUAGUC